AUGACCAUCUUCUCCUAUAUGAAGUCUUUCGUCGAGAAAAAAAUAAGAAGCAACCUUUCGGGAGGAAACUUCGCCGCCACGAGGCGGAACCUUGGCGGAUCCAAUCUAGAGCUCCGGCAUAGCUAUUCUGCCGGGGAAACUUCCCUCCCGGAGGGGGAAAUCAUCGCCAUCGUCAUCACGAAUGCUCCUCUCAUUGAGAGUGGGCAAUCUCCAUCAACAUCUUCAUCAGCACCAUCUCAUCUCAAAACCCUAGUUCAUCUCUUGUUUCCAAUUCUUGUCUCCAAGUCCGGGAUUGGUGCUAGUAGGUUGCUAGUAGUGUUAAUUACUCCUUGUAGUUGA
rnacentral:rRNA from 1 species